UACGUAGGGACCGAGCGUUGUCCGGAUUCAUUGGGCGUAAAGAGCUCGUAGGCGGCUGCUCAAGUCGAAUGUGAAACCUCGAGGCUUAACCUCGAGCCUGCAUUCGAUACUGGGCGGCUAGAGUCUGGUAGGGGGAUCUGGAAUUCCUGGUGUAGCGGUGGAAUGCGCAGAUAUCAGGAGGAACACCAGUGGCGAAGGCGGCUCACUGGCCCGAUACUGACGCUGAGGCACGAAAGCGUGGGGAGCAAACAGG
rnacentral:rRNA from 1 species